UACGUAGGUGGCAAGCGUUGUCCGGAAUCACUGGGCGUAAAGCGCGCGCAGGCGGCGAUCUACGUCUGGGGUGAAAGCCCGGAGCUCAACUCCGGGACUGCCUUGGAUACGGGAUCGCUUGAGGAUUGGAGAGGCGAGGGGAAUUCCACGUGUAGCGGUGAAAUGCGUAGAGAUGUGGAGGAACACCUGUGGCGAAGGCGCCUUGCUGGCCAAUUACUGACGCUGAGGCGCGAAAGCGUGGGGAGCAAACAGG
rnacentral:rRNA from 1 species